rnacentral:tRNA from 1 species
GGCGUGUUCGUCUAGUGGUCUAGGACGCUGGCCUCUCACGCCGGUAACACGGGUUCGAACCCCGUACACGCUA